UACGUAGGAUGCAAGCGUUGUCCGGAAUUAUUGGGCGUAAAGAGCGCGCAGGCGGUCUAUCAAGUCAGAUGUGAAAUAUCCAGGCUUAACCUGGAGGGGUCAUUUGAAACUGGUAGACUAGAGUACAGCAGAGGAUAGUGGAAUUCCCGGUGUAGUGGUGAAAUGCGUAGAUAUCGGGAGGAACACCAGUGGCGAAGGCGACUCGCUGGACAAGUAUUGACGCUGAGGUGCGAAAGCGUGGGGAGCAAACAGG
rnacentral:rRNA from 1 species